GCGAUGGUAGUAUAAUUGUUAGUGAGUAUAUUUGAUUUCCAAUCAGAGGGUCCAAUAUUGGUUGUCGUA
rnacentral:tRNA from 1 species